UACGUAGGGGGCUAGCGUUGUCCGGAAUCAUUGGGCGUAAAGAGCGUGUAGGCGGUCCGGUAAGUCCGCUGUGAAAGUCGGGGGCUCAACCCUCGAAUGCCGGUGGAUACUGUCGGGCUAGAAUGCGGAAGAGGCGAGUGGAAUUCCUGGUGUAGCGGUGAAAUGCGCAGAUAUCAGGAGGAACACCUAUUGCGAAGGCAGCUCGCUGGGACGUAACCGACGCUGAGACGCGAAAGCGUGGGGAGCAAACAGG
rnacentral:rRNA from 1 species